CCUACGGGAGGCAGCAGUGAGGAAUAUUGGUCAAUGGACGCAAGUCUGAACCAGCCAUGCAGCGUGCAGGAAGACGGCUCUAUGAGUUGUAAACUGCUUUUGUACGAGGGUAAACGCAGAUACGCGUAUCUGUUUGAAUGUAUCGUACGAAUAAGGAUCGGCUAACUCCGUGCCAGCAGCCGCGGUAAUACGGAGGAUUCAAGCGUUAUCCGGAUUUAUUGGGUUUAAAGGGUGCGUAGGUGGUUGGUUAAGUUAGAGGUGAAAUCCCGAGGCUCAACUUCGGAAUUGCCUCUGAUACUGGUCGGCUAGAGAGUAGUUGCGGUAGGCGGAAUGUAUGGUGUAGCGGUGAAAUGCUUAGAGAUCAUACAGAACACCGAUUGCGAAGGCAGCUUACCAAGCUACUACUGACGUUGAGGCACGAAAGCGUGGGGAGCAAACAGGAUUAGAUACCCUUGUAGUC
rnacentral:rRNA from 1 species